AUUCUCAGACUGCAGGGACAGCCAAGCCAGUUUCUUUUGAACCUCUUUAUUCCUUCUGGCCCUCAGGAUCAUUUCCUGGAGUGAGUCAGGGACUGAGACGUGCAAGAUAAUGAACUGGGUAUUUCUUCCUACACCUUUAGACAUAUAUGCAGGCAGAACACUGUAUAUAAUAAAUAAAAACAUGAAGAAGGAGGAAGGAAGGAGGAGGAAGAAGGAAGAAGAAGGAAGAAGAAGAAGAAGAAAGAACAACUCCCUUCUGUUACCACCAGGAACACACUCCACUCCUGGGCAACUGUCAAAUGGGAAUCAAGACUGGUCACAGCACAACACAUAUCCAAG
rnacentral:lncRNA from 1 species